UAAUUAUGCCUCUGAUGCCAAUGAACCC
rnacentral:sRNA from 1 species